rnacentral:rRNA from 1 species
AGAGUUUGAUCCUGGCUCAGGACGAACGCUGGCGGCGUGCCUAAUACAUGCAAGUCGAGCGAGCUUGCCUAGAUGAUUUUAGUGCUUGCACUAAAUGAAACUAGAUACAAGCGAGCGGCGGACGGGUGAGUAACACGUGGGUAACCUGCCCAAGAGACUGGGAUAACACCUGGAAACAGAUGCUAAUACCGGAUAACAACACUAGACGCAUGUCUAGAGUUUGAAAGAUGGUUCUGCUAUCACUCUUGGAUGGACCUGCGGUGCAUUAGCUAGUUGGUAAGGUAACGGCUUACCAAGGCAAUGAUGCAUAGCCGAGUUGAGAGACUGAUCGGCCACAUUGGGACUGAGACACGGCCCAAACUCCUACGGGAGGCAGCAGUAGGGAAUCUUCCACAAUGGACGAAAGUCUGAUGGAGCAACGCCGCGUGAGUGAAGAAGGGUUUCGGCUCGUAAAGCUCUGUUGGUAGUGAAGAAAGAUAGAGGUAGUAACUGGCCUUUAUUUGACGGUACCUCCAAAGGAAGCGCGGGUUAACUCGGUGCCAGCAGCCGCGGUAAUACGGAGGGGGCGAGCGUUAAUCCGGAAUUUCUGGGGGUAAAGGGGGGCUAGGGUGUCGUGUAAGUUGGGGGGUGAAAUCCCUUGGGUUCACCGGGAAACACCCCUUAAUAAUGCGUGAAUUUGAAUCCGGGAGGGGGAGGGGGAAUUCCCAGGGGUAGGAGGGAGAUCGGUAGGUUUUUGGAGGGACCUCCGGGGGGAAGGCGGGCUCUUGGAUCGGUAUUGACGGUGAGGCGUGAAAGCGUGGGGAGCAAACAGGAUUAGAUCCCCUGGUAGUCCACGCCGUAAACGAUGAAUAUUAGGUGUCGGUGAGCAUAGCUCAUUGGUGCCGCAGCAUACGCCAUAAAUAUUUCCCCUGGGGAGUACGUUCGCAAGAAUGAAACUCAAAGGAAUUGACGGGGGCCCGCACAAGCGGUGGAGCAUGUGGUUUAAUUCGAAGCAACGCGAAGGACCUUUCCAGGUUUUGACAUCCCUGUGGCCGGUCCGUAACGGGAUCUUUCCUUUGGGACCGAGGAGACCGGUGGUGCAUGGUUGUUGUUAGCUUGUGUUGUGAGAUGGUGGGUUAAGUCCCGCAACGAGGGCCACCCUUACUUUCCGUAGCCAGCGAGUAAAGUCGGGCACUCUGGAGGGACUGCCAGGGACAACCUGGAGGAAGGUGGGGAUGACGUCAAAUCAUCAUGCCCCUUAUGAUUUGGGCUACACACGUGCUACAAUGGCGUAAACAAAGGGAAGCGAGCCAGUGAGGGUAAGCAAAUCCCAAAAAUACCGUCUCAGUUCGGAUUGUAGUCUGCAACUCGACUACAUGAAGCUGGAAUCGCUAGUAAUCGCGGAUCAGAAUGCCGCGGUGAAUACGUUCCCGGGUCUUGUACACACCGCCCGUCA